UUGACAUAAUGGAGGUUCCACUGAGAUCUGAAGUCCCGGCUGCCUGAGCCCUCCUGCUAACCAGGACCCCGAGACUUGAGGUACCUCACACAAUCCGUUUGAGAUUGGGUCAGGAGUCCAGUUAGCAAGGGCCAGGGGAAGUGGCUCUUGGAGGAUCAGAGGGAACUGGCUUAUAGAAGGGAAGGAGAAAGUGAAGAGGAAGAAAUUAAAGGAAAAAUCAGGAGCUUGACAAUUCCUUGAGAGUUGAAGAAAAUGUUGAGAGUUGAAGAAACUUGGGAAUGGAAAAGUCUGAGGAAAUUUAGAAGUAACCAAGAGACAAAAGAAUCUUCAUGCAAUCUUCUUAGUAAAUAUAAUAAGACAUGGAAUAUAAGGAGACCCAGUAGAAGAGAAGUUGUCCAAAAAAUGGAAUGGGUAUUUGAUAAGAAGCACAGGAAGAAAUUGCUUAAGGAAUGGAAGUAUAGAUGUAUGUUGGAAAUAAAGGGAAAGGUGUGAUGACUUUGCACAGAUGUCAAAUUCCAUCCAGGAAAACUACAUUGUGGUAUGGUUAAAAAUAAAUUAAAAUGUAAUUUGGAAAAUAUUAAACA
rnacentral:lncRNA from 1 species